rnacentral:rRNA from 1 species
AAAUUUUGGCUGUUAAAAGGGUUAAACCAACCCUAUGAGAAAGGAGAGGGCAAGGCUGGUGCCAGCCGCCGCGGUAAAACCAGCUCUUCAAGUGGUCGGGAUUUUUAUUGGGCUUAAAGNGUCCGUAGCCGGUUUGGUAAGUUCCUGGUUAAAUCUGGCAGCUUAACUGUCAGUCGGCUAGGAAUACUAUCUUACUAGAGGACGGGAAAGGUCUGAGGUACUCCAGGGGUAGCGGUGAAAUGUGAUAAUCCUUGGGGGACCACCAGUGGCGAAGGCGUCAGCUGGAACACGCCUGACGGUGAGGGACGAAAGCCAGGGGAGCGAACGGGAUUAGAUACCCCGGUAGUCCUGGCUGUAAACGAUGCGUGCUAGGUGUUGGAAGGGCUUUGAGCUGUUUUCAGUGCCGUAGGGAAACCUGUUAAAGCGCGCCGCCUGGGAGGA